GACGAACGCUGGCGGCGUGCUUAAUACAUGCAAGUCGAGCGAAGAUAUUUUGAAAGCUUGCUGAUAAAUAUCUUAGCGGCGGACGGGUGAGUAACGCGUGGGCAGUCUGCCUUUCAGCCUGGGAUAACAGAGCGAAAGUUCUGCUAAGACCGGAUAUGCUCUUAACCAGGCAUCUGGAAUAGAGGAAAAGAAAAGCUGAAAGAUGAGCCCGCGUCCCAUUAGCUAGUUGGUGAGGUAACGGCCCACCAAGGCGACGAUGGGUAGCCGACCUGAGAGGGUGAACGGCCACACUGGGACUGAGACACGGCCCAGACUCCUACGGGAGGCAGCAGUAGGGAAUUUUCGGCAAUGGGCGCAAGCCUGACCGAGCAACGCCGCGUGAGGGAAGAAGGUCUUCGGAUCGUAAACCUUUGUCUUUGGGGAAGAUAAUGACGGUACCCAAGGAGGAAGCCACGGCUAACUACGUGCCAGCCGCCGCCGUAAAAC
rnacentral:rRNA from 1 species